CCACAAUGGGCACUCCACUUUUGUUAACAUUUUGCUUGUUCUCAUAGACAUGCUAUAAAAGCUAUUCUACUGAAUUCCCCUCUUCAACAUAAUUUGCUUCUGUUCUUAGAACAUGGACUUUCCCUGUUAGGCUGCAAGAACCAAAGGUCCAAUCUGUGAAAAGAUUUCACAAUUUUUAAGCAGAUGUUUAAACAUCUGUUCAGAGUAAACAAAUAGAAAGCAGGCAGGCCUUUCAGAGAGGUGCCUCCGUGAAAUUAGUUUCCAUCAUGUGACGCUGCUGCCUUCGUGUUGAGCAGUCAGUUAUGCAUAUUGAAGGUGUGCCCAGGGGCCCAAAAUAACUCAGAGGUGAGACAUGCCUUGGCCACAAACAGCAACGUUCACGAUGACUGUGUCAAGUACUGACAAUGCUGGACUCAGAGCAGACUGCAGGUGGGUUGAGUCUCAUGUUUAUGAGCAUGACUUAGUAAACAGGAACCCACAGAUUUGAGUACAGCCUGAGCAGACGACCCACGAGGAAGGUCAGGAUCAAGCAGAGUGAAGGAAGGAAAGCUAGAUUCCCUGGAGGCUGCCUGAGAGCUGCUUGCCAGUCCCGGAGGAGGAGGCUGAUGUAAUGGUGUAUAACCUCCAGGUCACUGAGCUGCGGAGAACAGCCCAAGGGGCCCUUGGCAAAGACGAUGUUGCUUUCAUCUGGUCUCCUGCGGAAACAUAGAAUCCAUUGUUAAACAUUUGUCAGCACACCCAUGAGUAGAAGUCUCAGUUUUGCUCUCAGAGAGGCAUAAAUUCUGACCGACUCCUGGCUUUGGGAAAGAGGUAUUUAAAAUUCACUAGACUAUAUCGGAGGAAAUGCAGCAUCCACCCCAAUGACUUCUGAUUAUAUGUAAAGAAAGAGAAACAGAGCAAGAGAGAAAAGAGAGAAGAAGAAAAAAGAACUCAAACUUGCAACAGAGAUAACCGAGAUACCAGCAGCAGAUCCAUUCAUGGAUUGUACCAGUCUGAAGCAAAUCACUCUCCAAGUUUCCAUUGUUGAGGCUUUUCCAACAUUUGAUCAUAGUCAGGACUAUCUUGGAUACUACAAUCAAGUUUUCUCUGUCAUUCAAGGACUGUUGAAUGAGCACUAUCUGAUCCAGGGCAUUGUAAUAAGUUCUGACAGACAUAAAAGGAGGAUUUGGACAUAC